AUGAACAGAGGAUCUCCACGCCGUGGUCGACAGACUCCUCCCAAGCCCGGCACCGCUAAGCUGGAUCCGCGCCAAGCUCCGCUGUCUCUGCCCGUUUCCUCGCCGUCUGCCGACCUCCGAUGCCACGGAAACUGCCGCCCCGCGCCAAGUCCCUCCUCUCGCUGCUUCCUGUCUUCCUCCUCAUUGUGCCGAUCCGGGAGGAUCGACCUCGCCGUUGCCUACUUGCUGGUAGCCGCCGCCGUGCCCGCAACCCCUGCUUCGCCGUUCCUGCUGUCGUGUCCUGCAUCGCUAUGUCACUACCGCUGA
rnacentral:rRNA from 1 species